CAAAAGUUACCUAGAGGAAUAGCAGUCUCUUGCCCUGCAAAUUUCUCUCCUCAGAGACAGCCACUUUUAAUUCUUUUAGCUCUUUCUUCUGGUAUUUACCUCUAUAUUUCUAAAUAAUAUGCUAAUAUUAUUACUUUUUAAUUUAUUAUUUUUACAAAGUAUCAAUAGAAUUCCUAUUUGGGGGAAUGAGAUUUAGGUUUCUCACAUUAUGCUCUGCCCAUCGUCUUCCCAAAAUACUUAUGUCAUAAAUUUUAGAGAAAUUAAAAUUCAUUAUUUCCUUUAAUAUAAUUAAAUAUUGUUCACUUCUUAACUAAGUAGUAUGCUGUGUUACAUUUCCUUUCUGUAUAAAUGUUUCUUUUCUCUUAUUCUUUAUCAUUCUCUGAUUUUUUUAUGUAUCCAUCAGUGCUUUUCUUCAGCAGUAGUUUUUACAAAUACUUAAAUGCAUAGAUAACCUAGAGGUUCAUUGCUCCCCAACCUAGGGCCUUUCUUUGCAGCCCUUCUCCCCUACAGACCAGACCAGCAAUCUUCCAGGUCUGGAGCAGUGGCCUGGGACUGACUGCCCUUCUCCUGGGUGGAAAUCUGUUUCCUGGAUUUUAACCCUUCUUUGGUUCACUCCUCGAUUUUACUGGCACACAACUUGCAGUUUUCGUAAGAAUGGAUGAGUGGGAGAAAACAACCAUGUCCAGCCCCCUUCCUAUAACUACAAGAAUCUUCCGACUUUUUCCUGAUGUGUUUUCCUCUUGAAGAGAAAAGCUGACGAUUCAGCCACGAGAGGGAAGGAAAGGAAGACAGAGACAAUAAGGAAGGGAUGUUCAUGAAGUGGUUGAAAAAUACUCCUGGGGGGCUCCAGACCAAGAUGGCAACAUAAAAGCCUCCUGAAUUUCCCUCCUUCCACAGAUGCACUGAAUAUAAAGCUACACAUGGAGCAAUUCCCUUUGAGAGAAAUCCGGAAACUAGCUGAGUGACUCCUAUACAUUGGGUGACUGAGAAAAUACCCACAUCAAAACAAGUAGGAGGGACUUUCCUGGUGGUCCAGUGGGUAAGACUCCAUGCUCCCAAUGCAGGUGGCCCAGGAUCGAUCCCUGGCCAGGGAACUAGAUCCCACAUGCA